GUGUCUGGGACCUAUUCUCUGGGUGUUGGGUGGCCUCUGGGUUCUCUUUCCCAGAACAUCUCAGGGGGAGUGAAUCUGCCCAGUGACAUCCCAGGAAAGUUUUUUUGUUUGUGUUUUUUUUUGAGGGGCAGGGGGCGGGGGCUGCAGGUGGUCUCUGAUUUGGCCCGGCAGAUCUCUAUGGUUAUCUCUGGGCUGGGGCUGCAGGUCUCUGCCCAAGGAUGGGGUGUCUCUGGGAGGGGUUGUCCCGGCCAUCCGUGAUGGAUCAGGGCCUCAGGGGACUACCAACCACCCAUGACGAACCCCUUCUCAGUACCUGGUCAUGGAGUAUUACGUGGGCGGGGACCUGCUGACACUGCUGAGCAAGUUUGGGGAGCGGAUUCCGGCCGAGAUGGCGCGCUUCUACCUGGCGGAGAUUGUCAUGGCCAUAGACUCGGUGCACCGGCUUGGCUACGUGCACAGGGACAUCAAACCCGACAACAUCCUGCUGGACCGCUGUGGCCACAUCCGCCUGGCCGACUUCGGCUCUUGCCUCAAGCUGCGGGCAGAUGGAACGGUGCGGUCGCUGGUGGCUGUGGGCACCCCAGACUACCUGUCCCCCGAGAUCCUGCAGGCUGUGGGCGGUGGGCCUGGGACAGGCAGCUACGGGCCCGAGUGUGACUGGUGGGCGCUGGGUGUAUUCGCCUAUGAAAUGUUCUAUGGGCAGACGCCCUUCUACGCGGAUUCCACGGCGGAG
rnacentral:sRNA from 1 species